UACGAAGGGGGCUAGCGUUGUUCGGAAUUACUGGGCGUAAAGCGUGCGUAGACGGUUACAUAAGUCGGGUGUGAGAGCCCCGGGCUCAACCUGGGAAUUGCAUUCGAGACUGCGUAGCUAGGGUGCGGAAGAGGGAAGCGGAAUUUCCGGUGUAGCGGUGAAAUGCGUAGAUAUCGGAAGGAACACCAGUGGCGAAAGCGGCUUCCUGGUCCAGCACCGACGUUCAGGCACGAAAGCGUGGGGAGCAAACAGG
rnacentral:rRNA from 1 species